rnacentral:lncRNA from 1 species
UCAGCCGGUGAGUAUGUCCUGGGAAGCUUGUGGGCCAAGAGUGCACCUCUGAGGACCCUUAAGAAAGAACCCUGCCAGAAAGAUUCCCUGCUAGGGGAAGCCCCAGGAGAGGGAGAGAGAGGUCAGGCCAGGGACACCUCAAGUUGUCAGGGGCAAGGCCACAGAGGAGGAGUGGUGCCAUGCAGAGUGUCACACAGGGAGGGGGGCGCACCAAGGCCUCUUUGCCCUUUACAGUAACACCUCUCCUCCUAGAAGUAAGGGCCCCCUCCUCACCCAGGGAACUUUCUGGGAUCAAGCCUUUGGGGUAGGGACAGGAGAUGCUGCCAACAGGAUGAGAAAUCGAAGCUUUGAGUUAGACUGAGUUUAACUAGUUGAUGGGCCAGCAGUGGGAGGGAGGGGCCAGAGCCGGGCUGUGAGAACAAAGCCCUGGUUUCCUGCUUUCUCCCACUGGUCUGCAUCCAAUUUGCAGGCUAUGACUUUAAAUAAGGUCUCUGUUCCCUCAGGCUAUGUUGGGGGAGGUCUUCACAGGAAGGUCCCAUUCCUUUGGAUAGUUUUGUGGCAGGUACAGUUUGGGCCUAGAGGCAACACUGGUCUAUCUGUACUUGGGAGGCAUGAGGGUCAGUCCUGACCCUGCAUGUUGGUGAUCUGACCCAUCUCUUCUCCUCCCCUCUGGACUUAAGAGUGCCAUCUUAUUCACUUUGUGACCAUACAGUUUCCACUAGCCCUCAUUCAAUUCUUCUUGUUCAGAGAAUACUGUGACUCCUGAAGGAGGACCCCAAGACCUGGGUAGCCUCUCUUUGAAGAUACACUUCUGAUCCCACAAGAGUGGGAGACACGUGGACUGGGGUUGCAGGUUAGUGGAAGAGCACUUGCCUAGCAUGUGUGAGGUACUGGGUUUGAUUCUCAGCACCACAUAUAGAUAAAUAAAAUAAAGGUCCAUUGACAACUAAAAAAUAUUUUUUAAAAUAAAAUAAGAGUGGGAGGUAUGUGCUGCAGCUCCCUCUCAAGGAACUGGGAAAGUCUAAAGGUCUCAGCAGAAGUCCAUGCAACAUACUCUGUACCCAAGUACACUUGUCAGCUUCCCUGAGUUUGUGAAAAGACACCCUUAGCCAUCUUGGCAGGACCUGCAGCACCAUUUCAAGAGAGGACUGAUGAGAUGUCACUUGCCCCACUUCUCUGUGGCUCCACAUAUGGGGUGAACAGGAUAGACCACUAUUCCUCAACCUACCAGGCCACCCUGAGCCCCCACACCCCGCACCAGUUCAGUGCCCUCUAGUUUCCAGGGCACCAUAAACACCUCAAAGGUGUGUUCCUAUCAGUGUUUCUUUGGUUCACUCAGGGUAUCUAUGGAACUUUCAACAAGGUGUAGGUCUGAGGGUGGUCCAGAGGUCCAGCAAUCAUUGAUAGGUAACCUCCCUUCAAAAAGCUAAGGCUGGAUGGGGCCUGAGGCAUACAAAGUCAGCAAUUCAAAUGCCUAGACACAGAGGGCAUAGGUAAGGACCCUGAACUCCUUGGGGGAAGGAGGAGGGGAAGCUCAGGCAGGCAAAUUCUGUCCCCAGGCCCUUCAGGGCAUCGCAGGUAGCACAGUGACCUAAUACUUGCUAAGUAUGUGCAUUUCCCCAUUUCUCAGAAAACUGAGACCCUGAGAAGUGACUUGUUCAGGACACCUCAUGUAUGUGAUAAUGAAGGUCCAAAUUAAUCCCUCUGAGGCUGAACCAAACACUCCUUCCACAUGGGCUUCACCCUGUGGGGCCAUCAUGCAACAGGGCCACAGCAGCCUCCCUCCAGCCUCCCUCCUGCUGAGACCCAUGCCUCAGCCCCUGAAUGCCACAUGAGCCAUGAGCCUCACUAGGGCCUCAGCUUGACAGGGGACCUAAACUCACCUGCCAGCAGGCUCCAGAGGGCCUGUGUUCUAUCUGGGAACCCACAGAACACAGGGACAGGAGGCUUCCAAGGCCUAGGAGCAGAUCCUCCCAACCUGAGUCUGAGGCCUCCUGGGCCCAUGUGGCACAGCUCAGACAAAGAGGGUUGUGCCCCCAGAGGAAUGAAUCCAUGAUUAGUGAUAGCUUGGGGGUUCCUUUAUGCAGAAACUUGUUCCACAGUUCACUGUCCAGUAGCACUGUAUGCAUUUGUGUGUGUGUGUGUGUGCAUGUGCGCACGUGCAUGUGUGAACUAAAUAAAAGGUGCAGGAAGUCUGAUCUUAGCCAGCAGGCCCCCCAGAUCCUAGAUACUGUUUCUCCUGGAGACUGGGUUCACCCAUGGGCAAAGGAGAAGGGACCAGGCCUUGUUCCUCCCCUGGGGGAGGUCUUUAGAGACACCCCCUUCUCAGUAGCUCAGGUGCCUGGAUGUCAUCAGUAGGGUCAGCUUCUGGAGUCCACAAGGAUGGGUGAUUCCCCAAGCUGUGGUGACUAGGGUCUUCCAGACAGCGUCUAGCCAUCCUUACAACUGGCAGAACAAUUUCCUUGGUUUCCAACAACUUGAAAACCACAUGUGAUUUUCCACAGUCCCGGCUCUGCAGGCCUGGCUGCUGAGUGAGCAGAGUCCAUGCUGAAUUCCUUCCACUCACCGCAGGGCAGACAGCAGGCCCAGCUGUGGGGAGAUUCACUGGGAUGGGGGUCACCACAGCAAGGCAGGGGCGGACUUCCAGCACUGAUGAGUAAUUCUGCAGUCAGUAAAUCUGGGAAGAGGGCAUGUGACCACUUAAUGUAACAAUCAGCCCAGUGUUAAGUUACAAAGGAGGAGGCAUUCUUCAAAACAAGGUUGAGUGGCAAAAAUAGUUUAAUCCCCACUUCACAUCUUCAUCAAAAUUAACUCCAGAGGAUGGAAGAUAUCAAGGUUAGGGGAAAAAACCUCAAAUGUAGUAAAAGAAAAUAUGAGUCCGUGUUUAUAUUCUUGGUGGGGGAAGUUAUCUAAGGAAGGAUAGAGAAUUUUGAUUUCAUAAAAUUUUUGCCUUCUGUAUAAUAAAAAUACUCUGAAGAUAAAAUUUAAAAGCAGGGCUCGGGUCAUAGCUGUGGUAGAAUGUUUGCCUGGCAUGUGUGGGGCACUGGGUUCAAUUCUCAGCACCACAUAUGAAUAAAUAAAGGUCCAUCGACAACUACAAAAAAAUUUUUUUUUAAUUUUAAAAGCAAACAAAACACUGGAAAAGAAUCUGUAAUCCUUCCAUCUGAAAUAGCCUCUUGUAGCCAGGCACAAUGGCACAGACCUAUAAUCCCAGAGGCUCGGGAGGCUGAGGCAGAAAGCUCACUAGUUCAAAGCCCCCUCAGCUAAGCAACUCAGUGAGAUUCUAUCUCUAAAUAAAAUACAAAAUAGCAGGGCUGGGGUUGUGGCUCAGUGGUAGAGUGCUUGCCUCGUGUGUGUGUAUGUGUGACUGGGUUCAAUCCUCAGUACCACAUAAAAAUAAAUAAAUAAAAUAAAGGUAUUGUAUCCAUCUACAACUAAAAAAAAUUUUUUUUAAAAUGGUACAAAGAUUCACAGGUAAAAAUCCAGACACUUAUGCCUUGAUAAAGGAAAGCUGCUAAAUAAACUUCUUUAUAUUUUUUAAAACUAAUUUGACUAUAUUGUUCCUUUAAAAAGUGAUCUAGAGUGCUGCUUGCCUGGCAUGCAUGAGGCCCUGUGUUCUAUGCUCAGCAUUUCAAAAAGAAAAAAAAGUGAGCCAAGACUCAGUGGAAUACUGUGUGCUUAGCAUGCAUGAGGCCUUGGGUUCAAUCCCCAGCACCAAAAAAUAUGUAUAAAUAAAUAAGCUCACAAAAGGAGAAACAUAAAUGAGUAGGAAACAUGCAAAUGUUCUACCUCACUAAAAGUUGUAAAAGUUCAAAUUCAAAUGUACCCAAUACUGCUUUUUCCUUAAUUCUCAGUUAAAAAUCUCUCAAUAUAAGCAGUAAUGGGAGAUUACUGUCUGAGUACUACUAGUAACAGGGACCUUCACACUAUUUGGGUCAUCUUAUUCAAGGUGAUUUGAUUGAAAAGAGCAGAAGCCCUACAAAGCAGCUGAACCCCAAUCAGCCAUCUUGCUAAGUGACAGAAAAUCCGAUGUAAUAAUGACUAAAAUAAGGUAGAAACAUAUUUCUUGCUCACGUAACUAAAUUGAGGCAAGUAGUCUGAAGCUGGUAUGGUAGCCUAACAACCACCAGAGAUUCUAGCUCCUUCCAUUUUGUUGUUCCCCUAAGCUCCACAGAGAGCUUCUUUCUCAAGAGUACAAAAUAGCUAUUUGAGACCCAGCCAUCAUUGCAUCAUCCUAGCCAGCAGAAAGAAGGGAAGGGAAUAAUAUUAAUGUUCAACAUCUUCCUCUACAAACACUUUCUAGAAGCUCACACAAAACUCCAUGUUCACUCCGUUGGCCUUAGCCACAACUCUGUCACAGGCCAUGCCCAGCUACAAAGAAAGCUAGGAAGUAUGGUCUUUUUCUGAUGUUCUGGGCUCACUAAAUGUCAGGUGUUCUAUCCCUAAAGAAGGAGACAGAUACUGAGGAAUAAUUAACAGUCUUAGUUACAUAUGGUAUUCUCUUGCUUUUGUGUCUAGUAAGAGUGCUAAAAUCUUAGACCAGUGUAAAAAAAAAAGUCAAUAUUUGGAAGAGGAAACUGUGAAAGCUGAAAUCCCAGGAAAGUGUAAGAAUAAGAAAUCAAUGGUGGCAUUAGCAAGUUUGUAGCCAGUUUCUGAGUGAGGUAUUCAUAUCCUUGCCUGUUUGUCUGCAGACUCAGCCCGUAGCUCAGCCAAGGAAAGCAAGAAACAGGCACCAGCUUCAGGAAGGGAGGGGAUCCUAAAAGGCACCCAUCCCAUUUCCACAGCUCCUGCUGUUAGUGAGGGUGCCAGAAGGGCUGGGGAUGUAGUUCAGGGGUAGAGUAUUUGCCUAGAAUGCAUGAGGACCCUGGUUAAGUUUCCAGCACCACAAAAGAGAGAGAGAGAGAGAGAGAGAGAGAGGUGGGGAGCAGAAUGCCCCCCUAGUCUCUAGCUAUGACCUCUUCUAACAGCCACGCUUCUCCAAGGAGUUGUUUGCACUUGAAGUUUCCAAUUCCUCAGCCCCAGGCAUCUGUUCUUGCCCCUGGCAUCUGGACUCAGACCCAGGGACCACACAGGCAACCAGUCCUGCCCAGCCACUGCAGGCUUUCUUUGACAGGGUUAAGUCUAGGAUUGCCCCGUUUUUCUCCUCUCCCACCCCCAAGGUCAGCUCCUUUUUUCCUUAUGAAAAACCAGCCUCUACCUCAGAGCAAAGCCUGCCCAAAUAGGUCCCCAACUGAGGGAACUAUGAUUGGUUCCCAAGUUUCCAGACAAAGGGGGGAAUGAAAAACCAGCCUCUACCUCAGAGCAAAGCCUGUCCAAGGAAGGGACAUGACCUUUGUCCUUGGAAAGACCCACAGAGCUCUCCUAGGCACAUUCCCACCCUGCUAAGUUGUUUAUCUACAAAUAACAGGAGAGACCUGCUGCGCCAGGUGUCCCUGACUCAGUGGGGAUCCAUAGUAACCCCCUAGCAGCCACCAAUCAGCAUGAGACAGGGAAAUACCUGGGAUGCCAGAUGACCCUCCCAGUAGUUUAUGGUGGUUGAUAACAUGUUGGGAAACCAUGUAGUUCAGCACGUACACCCGUCUUGGCUUAAACCAAUCAGUUCAAAUGAAUCCCCCUCUUGUAGUAACCAAUCACCCCUACCCAACUUAUUCCUGUCAGUGAAUGUGCUAAUCAUGUCUUAGAGUUGUUAUUUGAUUUUCCCGUGGUGUAUGAUGAUUUGCUAAGAGAUGCUAUGAUGUAUGUGGGGGUCCCUGCCUUCUCCAAAGAAUGUAUAAAACAGCUGCAAACCCUGGGCUCGGGGCCUCUCAGCGUCACCAGUUGCUGUGUGUGCGCGGAGGACCCAGCUAGCUCGCAAUAAACACCUUUUUGCUGUUUACAUCGAUCUUGGUCUCUGGUGGUCUUUUAGGAGUCCCGAAUUCAAGCAUAACACUUACUCUGCCUUUUCUCUCUGGGAACCUGAUGCUUUCUCCCUGUUUCAGAGACCUCCCCACCUGCCAAAGAUACUUCUUCUUCUUUUUUUAAUGCCAACAUCCUUGGCCUUUGUAAUAGUUAAUUUGAAUUGUCAAUUUGUCACAGAUUAAGAAGAUUAAGAGGAUUAUGGCUUUGUAGAUAAGGGUGUGUCUAGGAAUGACUGGCAUGUGGGAUAGCCAACUAAAAUGGAGACCCUCCCUAAACAUGCGCAGCACCAACCAAUAGGUUGAUGGUUUGGAUGGAAUAAAAGUUGGAAGAACAAAGAAGCAGCAGCUGAUGAAAGCUGCUUUCUUCUUGAACGGGUUCUUGAUUGCUGCUGCAAUCGUCUUAGGAUAUCAGACUCUCUCUUCUUCACUCUUCCAAAGUGGACUCUGAUAGUGAUUUUCCAGAAGGCUUAGGUCUCAGACUAGAGUAGCACUGUUGAUUUCUCUUGUUCUGGGGCUUCAGCCUCUUGGACUGACCAGCUAUUGGUUUUUCCAGUUCUCCAGCCUGCAGGUGGCCCUCGUGGACUAUCUAGCUUCUGGUCGUGUAGCCAACCUAAUAAGUGCCCCCCCCUUUUUUUGAUACUGGGAAUUGAACUCAGGGGCACUUGAACACCGAGCCACAUCCCCAGCCCUAUUUUGUAUUUUAUUUAGAGUCAGGGUCUCACUGAGUUGCUUAGUGCCUUGCCUUUGCUGAGACUGGCUUUGAACUCGCAAUCCUCCUGCCUCGGCCUCCAGAGCUACUGGGAUUACAGGCAUGCGCCACUGCGCCCAGCCAAAUCCCCUUUUUAUAAUUAUACUUCCUAUUGAUUCUGUUCCUCUAGAGAAUCCUGACUAAUACAGCCUACUGCCUCCCAUGAGCCUAAGCUUUGGUCAUUCUCCAGCAUUCUCACCACAGCUAACCCACAUGCCCAUUCCAGGCCUCUCUUUGAGCCUCCACAUAUCACCCACAGACCAUCAUAGAGGGCUUGGGGAACUCCCUGUGUUCUUCAAGGAGGAAGUUUCACCCUCUGCUUGAACCCCUCCCGAACUUCCUCUUCCCUCAGGCUUUGGAAUGAGCCUGCACUCCCAAGAAGCAGGUACCUCAUUUCUGGGCCCUUGAAACCCAUGCUCCCUCCAGUUCACUAUGGCUGAGCCUCACCACUGCAGGCCUAGUACCUUGUCCCUUUGGUAAAUCAUUCCUUCACAGUCCUGAAGGAAAUAUAUUCCCAAAGGGUAAGGAAGGCUGACUUGGUCACUCUGUGUCCACUAGCUUAGAGCUCACUUUUGGGGACUUAAAAAAAAAAUUAGCUUUCCGGGAGGUUACUAUUGGUGCAUCUAAAGCCAGACAUCAGGGCCCUUGUGAAGUGUGGUCUGCUGAUAGGAUGGGGGCGGGAGUCUCCUAGUAGGAAGUACCUCUCAGGGGCAGCAAGAGGCAGGGGCUUACAUUCAGCACAAAGACCAUUUGCUCACUCAGAGAAUAUCUGUAAACGACUUCAUGUGUCAGGAUCCCAAGCCCACACAGAGGUGCCCUGCCCUUGGAGUCUUCUCUCCAGAAGAGGAAAGAGUUGGCUACAACCUAGUGCUGGGGGUACAUGGGGCCCAACCCUGAGGACCAGCAUGGACUUCCUGGGGGAAUGCAUGAGUGGGAUGAACCAGGUGAAUCCCUGGGAGAGGGUGACAGGGUAUGUCAAGGCUCCAGUUAGGAUGACCUUAGGGGAUGUCAGAAAUACGGGCACAUGGUACAAACAGGGUCUGAGGACAUGGGAGACCAGCCUGAGAUUGGGUUCCAUCAUGGGCAGAGGGGCUUCAUGGGGCUAACUAGGCAGGGAUAGCAAGUCACUGGGAUGGCCUGCACUGAACAGAGGUGGAUGGCCAAUGGGGACAAUGCUGAGAUAGACCACAAGAACUGGCCCAGGAGUUUAUGGAGGCUAGGACAGAGCCAGCAAGGUUGAGAACUUGUGGGAGGUAUCUGAAAGGGCUAUGGGGAGAGCAGGGGACUGCAGAUGUGGAGUCCCCCAUCCCCAGGGCCUCUUACAGAGAACCAGCUAUACAUUCCUGUGAAGAGUGAGGGGAGGGCAGACAGCAGGUGGUGAUAGGGACACAUGAGCCCAUUCCAGCCAAAUGCAGUGGUAGAACUGGAUAUAAGGAAGGGGUAACCACAUUGUUUAUCCUCCCUUGAGAUGUUACUUCCCAAAGUCAGUUUGUGGUGUGGGGCCUGAAGGGCCACAGGCUCCCAUACCCUAUGUCCCUUAAUGCCUGGUGCCAGGCUGGACACCAGGCGUUUCUGUUGACCUCCCUGCCCGGUCUGCACUCCUGCUAGCUGUUCCCCAUCACAGCUCAACUGGUUCUACACAAUUGCUACUGACACAGGGAAUAAGGAUGGGGACAGAGAACUUUAGAGUGGUCAGUGUCUUCCCCCUACCCUGAAUUGCAGGACCAGGCAGUGCCUCUGUCCAUAUUGGUCAGUGCCUUUCCCAGUUGCCCACUAAAGCCAGCAGGAGCCUGGGCUCAGCACCCACCUAGCAGAAGCCCUUUCAUGCCCAUGUUGGUCACCCCACUGGCUGUGGCUCUGUUGAAUAUGCUUACUUUUAAAAAUAUAUAUAUUUAUUUUUUAGCUGUAGAUGGACAAACACCUUUACUUUGUUUAUUUAUUUUUAUGUAGCUGAGGAUUGAACCCAGUGCCUCACACGGGCAAGGCAAGUGCUCCACCACUGAGCCACAACCCCAGCCCGGAUAUGCUUACUUUAAAAAAAAAAAAAAAAAAUAUAUAUAUAUAUAUAUAUAUAUAUAUAUAUUUUAGUUGUAGUUGGACACAAUAUCUUUAUUUUUUAUUUAUUUAUAUGGAGUGCUGAGGAUCAAGAACCCAGGGCCUCGCAAAUGCUAGGCACUGAGCCACAACCCCAGCACCCCCAUAUGCUUACUUUUAAAAAGUCCUUUAUUAUGCAAGUACUGCAUGCUCAUUGUAGAGAAAUUAGAAAUGACAAAAGGCCAGGGGCUGGAGUGGUAGCUCAGAGGUAGAGUGCUUGCCUGGCACAUGUGAGGCCCUGGGUUCAAUUCUCAGCACCACAUACAAAUAAAUAAAUUAAAUAAAGGUCCAUCAAUGACUAAAAAAUGUUAAAAAAAAAAAAAAAGAAAAUAAAUGACAAAAGGCCAAAUAACAAAGCUAUUCUGUUUUAUCAAAUUCCAGACCAUCCCACCUCCCAGGAAGAAUAACUACCAGUUUGUUACAACAAUGUCCAGAGGUUUUUUGGAAGUGAGCAGACCUGGAGAAGCCCUGAAGGAGCCAGACAGCCAGGUUCACACCCCAACACUGCUGUUCAUCAGCUAUGCAAGCUUGGCCAAGGGGCUUGCUCUGUCUGUGUCUACAACUCCUCCCCAGAAGGAUGGGGACAGUGAUAUCACCCUCUGACAGGAGUUCCAGCACAUUCAUGAGUUGACACGUGUAAAGUGCUUACAGCAGUCUGGCACAGAUCACUGGGCAAGGCUUGAUCUCAUUUUGAAUAUGUGCACACACUUAGAAACAUUCUAUUAUGGAAAAUUUCAAUCAUCUGCAAAAACAGUGAAAUGAUAUACUGAACUGUCUGCCCUGGCACCUGCUCCUGAAGUUCAACUCAUGACCCACUUUAUUUCAUCUGUGUUUUACCUUUUCCUCCAUCCGAAGACAUCACAUGAUUUCACCAAGAAAUAUGUUAUUGUGCCUUUCUUUUUUCUUUAUUUUCCUUUUUUUUUCUUUAUCACGAGGAAUUGAACCUAGGUAAAUGUUCUAACAUUGAAGUACAUCCCCAGCCAUUUAAAAAUUUUUUAAUUAUAUUUUGAAAAGAGUCUUGCUAAGUUGCCCAGGUUGGCCUCCAACUUGUUUGUGAUCCUCCUGCCUCAGCUUUCCCAAAUAUUUAUUGUUCAUUUUUUAAAAAAUUCUCUUUCCUAUAAACUUUUAUCAUUUUUGAAAAUUCCAACUAUAAUUCCUUAAUAGCCAAUAUCCACCCAUAGUGCAUAUUUCCUUAAUUGCCCCAUAUGUUUUAUUUUUAUUUUUUACAGUUUAUUCAUUUGAAACAGGAUCUAGAUAAGGAUAGUGGGCUGGGAUUGAUAGAACUCUUACAUCUGUUUUAACCUAUAGACUCCCCCUCUUUUGUGGUUUGGAUCUGAAAUGUCCUCCAAAAGCUGAUGUGUUGGAGGCUUGGUCCCUGUGUUAGACAACUUUGCAACACUGUGACCAUUUUCAAGGAUUCAAGAAAUGGUCAGCUGGCUCCAUUGCUCUGGGCCUUUGGUGAGGCAGAACAUCAUGGAAGGUUUGCAGCCAAGGAAAUCUGCUUAGCUCAUGGUGGCUGGGAAGGAGAGAAAGACAGAGAGAAAAGGAGAGAGGAAGGGGUCGGAGAGAAAAUAAAUUCUUCCAGGGCAUGCCCCUGUGAUCUACUUCCUCCAACACCUCCCAGGAAUCCAUUCAGCUAUCAUCAAAUAGAUUAAUUCACUGAUGAGAUAGGAGCCUGUUAGGGUUUGGAUAUGAGGUGUCCUCCAAAAGUUUCUGUUAAUGCAGUAAUAGUCAGAGGUAAAAUGAUUGGACUGUAAGAUCUGUGACCUAAUCAGUCCAUCCUUGCUUGAAUGGACAGAUUGGGGGUUAACUGUAGGCAGGUAGGGCCUGGCUGGAGGAGGUGGGUCAUUGGAGGUGUACCUUGGAAGGGUACAUCUACCCUGAGGCCCCUUCCUCUACCCCCUCUCUAUCUGCUUCUAGACCCUGCCAUGAGUUGAGCAGCGUUUCUCCACUGGGCUCUUCCUCCAUGACAUAUUGUCUCACUUUGGGCCCAAAGCCAUGGAAUCAGCCAUCUAUGGUCUGAGAUCUCUGAAACUGAGUUCAAAAUAAACUUUCCCUUCUCUAAAUUGUUCUUUUCAGGUAUUUUUGUUACAGUGAUAAAAAGCUAACUAAGACAGCCUCAUCAUUCAAUCAUUGCUUAAAAGCCCCACUUCUGGACACAGCUGCAUUGCCUCCAACACAUGAGCCUCUUAGGGGACAUUCCAGAUCUAAACCAUAACAGUCCCCAAAGCAGCAGUAUUCCAAGGCAGGAGGUGAUUGUUAAUGAGGGCUCUAAUCUUAUCAAUGGAGGAAUUCAUUGAUGGAUUCAUAGCUUAAUGGGGUUAUUGGGAGGUGGUGGAAACUGUAAGAGGUGGGGCUUAGUUGGAGGAAGUGGGUCACUGGUGACUGGUCCCAGAAGAGUAUAUCUUGUCUCAGGUCCCUUCCUCUCUGAUCCUAUCUGCUUCCUAGCUGCCUGAGCUAAGGAGAUAUCCUCUACCAAACGCUUCUGUCAUGGUGUUUGGCCUCAUCUCAGGCCCCAAGCGAAGUGGCCAAGCAAUCAGGACUGAAAUCUCUAAAAUCAUGAGCCAAAACAAGCAUUUCCUCCUUUUAAGUUGUUUAUGUCAGAAUUUUGUCACAGCAGUGGAAAGCUGACUAACACACCCUCUCUCUCUUUUGUUCUUGUACUUUAUUUGUUGAAUCUAAGCUGAUUGCCUUUAGUGUUCC